rnacentral:rRNA from 1 species
CGCGGCCUAUCAGCUUGUUGGUGAGGUAAUGGCUCACCAAGGCGUCGACGGGUAGCCGGCCUGAGAGGGUGACCGGCCACACUGGGACUGAGACACGGCCCAGACUCCUACGGGAGGCAGCAGUGGGGAAUAUUGCACAAUGGGCGCAAGCCUGAUGCAGCAACGCCGCGUGCGGGAUGACGGCCUUCGGGUUGUAAACCGCUUUUACUAGGGAAGAAGGGCUUCGGCUUGACGGUACCUGCAGAAAAAGGACCGGCUAACUACGUGCCAGCAGCCGCGGUAAUACGUAGGGUCCGAGCGUUGUCCGGAAUUAUUGGGCGUAAAGAGCUCGUAGGCGGUUUGUCGCGUCUGCUGUGAAAUCCCGAGGCUCAACCUCGGGCCUGCAGUGGGUACGGGCAGACUACAGUGCGGUAGGGGAGAUUGGAAUUCCUGGUGUAGCGGUGGAAUGCGCAAAUGUCAAGAGGAACACCGAUGGCGAAGGCAGAUCUCUGGGCCGUAACUGACGCUGAGGAGCGAAAGGGUGGGGAGCAAACAGGCUUAGAUACCCUGGUAGUCCACCCCGUAAACGUUGGGAACUAGUUGUGGGGUCCUUUCCACGGAUUCCGUGACGCAUCUAACGCAUUAAGUUCCCCGCCUGCGGAGUACGGA